AUUGAACGCUGGCGGCAGGCCUAACACAUGCAAGUCGAGCGGAUGAAGGGAGCUUGCUCCUGGAUUCAGCGGCGGACGGGUGAGUAAUGCCUAGGAAUCUGCCUGGUAGUGGGGGAUAACGUCCGGAAAAGGGCGCUAAUACCGCAUACGUCCUGAGGGAGCAAGUGGGGGAUCUUCGGACCUCACGCUCUCAGAUGAGCCUAGGUCGGAUUAGCUAGUUGGUGGGGUAAAGGCCUACCAAGGCGACGAUCCGUAACUGGUCGGAGAGGGGGAUCAGUCACCUGGGAGCGGGGACACGGUCCAGACUACUACGAGAGGCCGCAGUGGGGAAUAUUGGACAGUGGGCGAAAGCAUGAUCCAGCCAUGCCGCGUGUGUGAAGAAGGUCUUCGGAUUGUAAAGCAGUUUAAGUUGGGGGGAAGGGCAGUAAGUUAAUACCUUGCUGUUUUGACGUUACCAGCAGAAUAAGCACCGGCUAACUUCGUG
rnacentral:rRNA from 1 species